rnacentral:lncRNA from 1 species
AGAUACUUUGAACACAACUGCAAUUAAUAUAAUUAUGACGUGAAUGCUUUAAGGCCUGUAGCAUCACGUGAAGAUUGAACUUAGGUGAGAUCAACUGAAUAAUGCUUAUGAACAUGAAUUAAACAACAAAUGCACAUUAUCUAGUUUGUUGGUCCGAAAAUUAACUAUUUAUCAAAGACAAAUACAAUGACAGUGCAAUCAACUAGCAGACCAUUUCAUCCACAGUUUAGACCAACAGGGACCUACAGACAGCAUCUACCAAAAAAGGGUUGAUCAUAUCAUUCAAAGUUGACAGCAAGAGGUAACAAACGCAAAGAAAUUACCAUAAUCCAACCAUGAAAAUACUAGUUAUGUGUGUCUCAGUCAUAGCGGCAAAAACAGCAUACAAAACCACAUAAUGCCAACAUUAAAUAGAUGUUCGGGCAUUCCACAAACGUGGUGCGUGCAACAACAUAUUAAA